AGGGUUCCUCAGCACUGUUCGUCAGCUGAGGGUUAGCCGGUCCUAAGUCUCACCGUAAUUCGAAUGAGACGAAAUGGGAAGCAGGUUAAUAUUCCUGCGCCAUCGUUCAUUGAAAGUCGACGCCUUGGGGUAGACCGAGCCGGGCCAUCGCCCGGUCGAACCGUCCAACUCCGUGGAAGCCGUAAUGGCACGAAGCGGACGAACGGCGGGAUAGAGCAAUUCGGUUCAACCUGGGGCCCGUGAAAAGACGAGAACGAUGUCCGUACCGAGCACCGACACAGGUGCCCAUGGCGGAGAAAGCCUAGGCCUGUCGGGAACAACCGACGUUAGGGAAUUCGGCAAUCUAGUCCCGUACCUUCGGAAGAAGGGAUGCCUGCCUCGGGAAGAGGCAGGUCGCAGUGACUNUUACAGAGCAAUUGUGUAGGUCGGCGUUCUGAUCGGGUGGAAGCACGGCCGAGAGUUCGUGUGGACCGAUUUGAAACGAAAAUCCUGGUCACAGUAGCAGCGAAAGUCGGGUUGAAAUCCUGACGGCCAAAAGGGCAAGGGUUCCUCAGCACUGUUCGUCAGCUGAGGGUUAGCCGGUCCUAAGUCUCACCGUAAUUCGAAUGAGACGAAAUGGGAAGCAGGUUAA
rnacentral:ncRNA from 1 species